rnacentral:rRNA from 1 species
UACGUAGGGUGCGAGCGUUAAUCGGAAUUACUGGGCGUAAAGCGUGCGCAGGUGGUUAUUUAAGACAGAUGUGAAAUCCCCGGGCUCAACCUGGGAACUGCGUUUGUGACUGGAUGGCUAGAGUGCGGCAGAGGGGGUAGAAUUCCACGUGUAGCAGUGAAAUGCGUAGAGAUGUGGAGGAAUACCGAUGGCGAAGGCAGCCCCUGGGUCGACACUGACGCUCAUGCACGAAAGCGUGGGAGCAAACAGG